AACUGGCUUGUGGCAGCCAA
rnacentral:ncRNA from 2 species